rnacentral:rRNA from 1 species
CCUACGGGAGGCAGCAGUGAGGAAUAUUGGUCAAUGGACGAGAGUCUGAACCAGCCAAGUAGCGUGAAGGAUGACUGCCCUAUGGGUUGUAAACUUCUUUUAUAUGGGAAUAAAAUGUUCCACGUGUGGGAUUUUGUAUGUACCAUAUGAAUAAGGAUCGGCUAACUCCGUGCCAGCAGCCGCGGUAAUAUGGAGGAUCCGAGCGUUAUCCGGAUUUAUUGGGUUUAAAGGGAGCGUAGGUGGAUUGUUAAGUCAGUUGUGAAAGUUUGCGGCUCAACCGUAAAAUUGCAGUUGAAACUGGCAGUCUUGAGUACAGUAGAGGUAGGCGGAAUUCGUGGUGUAGCGGUGAAAUGCGUAGAUAUCACGAAGAACUCCGAUUGCGAAGGCAGUUCACUGGACUGCAACUGACACUGAGGCUCGAAAGUGUGGGUAUCAAACAGGAUUAGAUACCCUUGUAGUC